GGAAACGAUAACUAAUACCGUAUACGCCCUACGGGGGAAAGAUUUAUUGCUAUUAGAUGAGCCUAUAUUAGAUUAGCUAGUUGGUAGGGUAAUGGCCUGCCAAGGCUAUAAUCUAUAGCUGAUCUGAGAGGAUGGUCAGCCRCACUGGAACUGAGAUACGGUCCAGACUCCUACGGGAGGCAGCAGUGGGGAAUAUUGGACAAUGAGCGAAAGCUUGAUCCAGCCAUGCCGCAYGAGUGAAGAAGGCCUUUGGGUUGUAAAGCUCUUUCAGUGAGGAAGAUAAUGACGGUACUCACAGAAGAAGUCCUGGCUAACUCCGUGCCAGCAGCCGCGGUAAUACGGAGAGGGCUAGCGUUAUUCGGAAUUAUUGGGCGUAAAGAGCACGUAGGCUGGUUAGUAAGUUAAAAGUGAAAUUCCAAAGCUUAACUUUGGAAUUGCUUUUAAAACUGUUAAUCUAGAGGUUGAAAGAGGAUAGAGGAAUUCCUAGUGUAGAGGUGAAAUUCGUAAAUAUUAGGAGGAACACCAGUGGCGAAGGCGUCUAUCUGGUUCAAAUCUGACGCUGAGGUGCGAAGGCGUGGGUAGCAAACAGGAUUAGAUACCCUGGUAGUCCACGCUGUAAACGAUGAAUGUUAAAUAUGGGGAGGAUACUUUCUGUAUUAUAGCUAACGCGUUAAACAUUCCGCCUGGGGACUACGGUCGCAAGAUUAAAACUCAAAGGAAUUGACGGGGACCUGCACAAGCGGUGGAGCAUGUGGUUUAAUUCGAUGCAACGCGAAAAACCUUACCACUCCUUGACAUGGAAAUUGUACCUAUUCGAAGGGAUAGGGUCGGUUUGGCCGGAUUUCACACAGGUGUUGCAUGGCUGUCGUCAGCUCGUGUCGUGAGAUGUUAGGUUAAGUCCCGCAACGAGCGUAACCCUUAUCCUUAAUUGCCAUCGGGUGAUGCUGGGGA
rnacentral:rRNA from 1 species